GACGAACGCUGGCGGCGUGCUUAACACAUGCAAGUCGAACGGAAAGGCCCUGCUUUUGUGGGGUGCUCGAGUGGCGAACGGGUGAGUAACACGUGAGUAACCUGCCCUUGACUUUGGGAUAACUUCAGGAAACUGGGGCUAAUACCGGAUAGGAGCUCCUGCUGCAUGGUGGGGGUUGGAAAGUUUCGGCGGUUGGGGAUGGACUCGCGGCUUAUCAGCUUGUUGGUGGGGUAGUGGCUUACCAAGGCUUUGACGGGUAGCCGGCCUGAGAGGGUCACCGGCCACAUUGGGACUGGGAUACGGCCCAGACUCCUACGGGAGGCAGCAGUGGGGAAUAUUGCACAAUGGGCGGAAGCCUGAUGCAGCAACGCCGCGUGCGGGAUGACGGCCUUCGGGUUGUAAACCGCUUUCGCCUGUGACGAAGCGUGAGUGACGGUAAUGGGUAAAGAAGCACCGGCUAACUACGUG
rnacentral:rRNA from 1 species